rnacentral:lncRNA from 1 species
GCAUUAAUUAAGCAACGUUAGUUUCAUUUUCUAUUGUCUCUCUCUUUGACUUUGGAUUUUUCCACAAGAAAUGCUUCAAUCCAGAGAGAUCAUAUCAGUGUUGCUUCACUGUGCGUGAGUGUCAGAUGACAGUAUCUGCAUGUACACGAGGGAGGCCAUCUGUGGAGGAAUGUACAGCCUGACCUAGGUGGAUGGAUCUGAGAACAGGCUGCCAUACCCUGGUUAUUCCCCUUUGAGGAAUCCUAGGGCUGAGCAAGCUGUAGAUGUCCAUCUUCUAACGUGUCUGAAAGGGGCACUGCAGGGUGAGUGAUCCCCCCAAGGCUAGGUGUUGGGUUCCUCUGGCUUGUCAGCAGAACUGGUAAUCGUGGUGCCAUUUGAUUCUCUUAGUUGAGAGGAAGCCUGGAAACAAAGUUGUUUUCUGGAAAAUGUUUCCUAUUGAAAAGUCUUGACCUGAAACCUAUGUCAUAAUCAAGGGACUAAAGUGAUAUUUUCAAAGGGCCUCUGGCUGUACUGUUGACUCUCUAGUGGUUUCUCUCAGUACCAACAUUGCCUGGCAUUAACUAGCCCGGAUUCUGAUCUGGCAGUUCCUGAUUGGUGCCCUCUGCCUAUAUAAGGUCAGGAUGUGGAAUGCUGAAGGCAGCGUCCUACCUUCUCCUGAGCUCCACGCUUUCUUAUCUGUGCUCCCUGCUAAUCAACUCACCAGCAUGAAGCUCUUGGCAUUGCUGGUACUGGUGGCCGUUUCCACCUUCCUGGUUUCAGGCCAGACAACUGGCGCCGCUGCAAGUGAUAGCUCUACUGGUAAGUCUGUGUUUGUACUUCAUGUCCUUCCUGCCAUGACUGUUUUCCAUCUCUGUCUCGCGUCACGCGGCCAUGGAGGACAGAACGCAAAGCAGCUGCUUGGGAAAAGCCACAUUCUUGCUUGUAAAGUUCAUUGCGACCAUAGAAAAUCUGCUGAUUUCUUAUACAUUUUUAGAGAAUAUAGUCUCUGGAAAGGACCAAUGCAAACUGUAAGUGUGGUCUAGGAGAAAAGACAAGGGAUUAUGGUCUGAAUCUGUGGUGUGGGAAUUUGGGGGAGUUGCAUGUAAAGUCUUCUUGAUGACCAUAGCUUGAAGGGGUGAAUAUAGGGUCAGUGUGUAGAAGUGGGAUUAAUCAGUUUCAGGAUGAAGAAAGACAAUGUAAUUAAUUCCUGAAGGUGAUAUAGAAAUGACAGCAGUAGGCCUGCAUGGGAGUGUGGAAUGGAGAUUGAGGAAUAUGGGGUGAAGUUGAUGAAUGGCCUUAUGCUUUGUUCUUUGUAACGCAUGGCUUAGUCCCAUGCUGAUCUGCAUUUUUUUUUCUUAUGUGAAACUGAAGGUUGUGUAAAAAAGCCCCAAGUGCCUUUCUUGGGCUUCUCACACAGCG